rnacentral:tRNA from 1 species
GCCCCCAUAGCUCAAUGGAUUAGAGUAAUGGUCUUCGGAACCAGUGAUGGAGGUUCGAAUCCUCCUGGGGGCA